UCUACUGCUGGAGACGCCUGGCUGGUGCAGCAUUUACAGCUAUUGAGUGGAGAAGGUUUUUAAUAAUUAGGUUGCAGAUGGGAUUAGAAAUUAGACUGGAAGGCAAUAUUUCUUGAUAUAUGCAGGAGCGUCCGUCUGAGUGGGGCUUUGUUUCCAGCCCCAGAGAGCCAGCCGGCUGGGCUCGCUUGCCCUUACACCAGUGCUGCCAAGACCCUCACUGCAGGAGGGUGAUGGGGGAUCAUUCUCCCACCAAACAAAGUGCUGCUGCUGCAUGGCUACCUGCCUCCCUGAGGAUGCCGGCAUCUGCUCACCAUCGGCUUCAGCUGGGCUCCUUCUUUGCCACGAGUGCCAGGUAGCUCCAAAGGCAGGGGGGGACACAAGAUGCUGAUCCUGUGAGUGCUUUAGUGGGUGCUUUGUCUUGCCCAGGAGCACAUGGAACUGUUUGGGAGCUCUGGCUCCUGGUCUUCCCACUGUUGGGGUGCCUGGAGUCACCCUGCUUCCCUGCUCCUUGUUUGGUAAGAAAAUAAAUGACCAGAGCCUAAUGCUGGAGCUUGCUGGUCUCACCAAGGUUGCAGUUGGAGGUGCUAAGCAAGCUGGGAGGUGGACCAGGGCUGACAAGCAGCAUCAUGUAGAGCACCUGGUGGCAGCCAAGAGAUGAACCUCUUGGUCACCUCAUGGUGGCCUUUGCAGGCCAGGAGGACUUGAUUUGGGCAGUGUCCUGCUGUCUCUCCUCUGGUCUCAGCUGGCCCAUUGGCCUUGGAGGGUUUUACAAAACAGACCCCGUGGGGCAGGAGGUAAUCCAGCAGCCACUGGUUAUGCUUGCCCCAUCCCUUUGGCUGUCUCGUGUCGUCAUGGCCAAACCUCUAGUACAGACAGUAGAGUAUUUUGGUGGGUUUGGGGCUGGGGGACUGGGCCUUUGGUGGGCUUUCAGUUAGUGAAGCUUUGCACAGCUGAAAUGUCUGAUUGGUCCCAAUUUUCCAUCAAAAGUAAGGUGCAAAAACCUGGAAUUAUGCCUCCAGGGUUGUGUCCCUGCCAAAACCUUGUGCCCUCAUAGUGCAGCCCAGUCAAAGAAAAUACUCAAGCAGCUGUUUUAGACACUGGCUUUGACUCCCUGCAUCUGAAACAGCAGAGCUGCUUGCCCAUCCUUGUGGCCAGCAUCUGAACUUCAACCAUCCUGCUGCCUUUGCCAUCUUCCGACGCAGGCUUUUAUUUCAUUUUCCCUGAGCUGUUGGUAAUUUUGGUUUCAGCAGUGUCCUGGACCCUCCAUGCCUGCUGGGGAUGGGCAUGUCCAAGCUGCAGUGACCUCCAGGCAUGGUGAGCUGCGUGGUGGAGGUGCUGGGGUGAAACCGCCAUCACUUUCCCUUUGGGAGGUGAGGAUCAGCCCCGCUGCCUCUGAGCCAGAGGUCCUGGGCUUUGCUGGGGCGCUCUCUCUGGCUCUGCCAUGGCUUUGUCCAGCUCUGCUCACUUCUGUGCCUUUCCCAUCUGCUGUGGGAUUCAGUCCCACCUCCCUUGCCUGCUCCAGAUGCCUAGCUCUUCCCCUUCCCCCUCCCAAAUCCCUUCUCAACAGGAGAAAGCUGCCUCAUUGCUCCCAGCUCAUUCCCAUGCAAAUGACACAUUAGGGGAUGUAAUGAACUUUGGUUGUUCUUUAUAACCUUUUGUUUUGAGGUUGAAAGGUUAAUGGUGUGAGGGGGACUUGCCUCCCCAGUGGGGUGGAAGCCAUCCAGGCUGGCACAGUGAACAGCGGGCAGAGGUGCCACUGAUGGCUUUGCCCUGGGAGGGAUUUCUCCACAGCUUUGCUGUGUGGGGUGACCCUGCACCCCACCCCUUGUGUGGGGACUCCUGAGGACAGCCCAGGGACGUGCAGGAGCUGGUCAUGAAGAGGACCCUCUCCAAGAUAUUCCAGCAAGGGAUGGACUUGGCCUGAAUGAUUCUGCUCACGCAAAAUGAGUUUCCCAGGCCUGGGGGAGCCUCCAUCCGUCAGCCGUCCUGUGCCUUUUUAAGCACAAACGGGAACAAUAUCAAGGAAUGGGGAGAAGAAAGAAUGGUCCUUGCAAGAGAGGCCAUAUCAGAGCUGUCUUUCUGUUCAUCUGUUUAAGACCCUUUUUUGCCAUCCUUGCCUCUCUGGUGCCCGGUGCUCCGUUCCUGAAAGUCUCGCAGAAGCAGCGAGAGUCUGUGGAGAACGCGGUGACGAGAAGGCACCAAGGCCACCAGCCUGCAGAACAGUUACACCGGGUAGCACUGGAGGCUUUCCUAAGUAUGAAACAGAGUAUGUCUGUGGAGGGAAAAUUUUAUCUCAGACCUGCUUGAUGAGAUUCACUUCAUCUGCCUCUGCCUGUAUGAAAACAUAGAUGAUGUCACGGUGGGAUCGAGGAGUCAAGAUCACAUCAGGAGUCAGCAAUGCAUGAUCUAAUGGAGAAGGCUGCUCCGAAACCAGAGUGAAUAACAAAAGGAAUAGUGAGGUGUAUUUUAAGAGAGCCAUUGGCCAAGAAAGCCAUCUUCUCUUUCCACACCACUGCUCCAGCCCUUUGUGGUGGUCACUAUCGAAAGCAGGUUUUGGAAGCAUGGAGUGCUGAUGAGCUUGGUCCUCCUCUCCCCAUCUCUUCUCCAUCAGGCGAUGUAGGUACAGAUCAAGAAGUGCACGGAAGUACUGAAGUACAAUCCCUGUCUCACCAGUUUUACGGACUGAGAGUACUGUAAAAUGGGGUAGAGCCAGGACUGAACAUUUCCUCCCCAGUACCACGUGGCUCUGGACUUCAGGGAUGCAAGCUGCUUGGAAAGUGGGAGAAAUGCACAGCACAUUCUAGGAAAUACAUGAAGAAAUCAUUCUGGAGAAGGGAUUAAUGUGAUGCUAUAGAAGUUUGGAUUCAGCUCUCUACCAGAUGCUGAGUCAUAAAGAGAGAGAAGGAUGUUUCAGAGCGUACACUCAGGGAAAAGAGUCAGUCACCAUUGCUGUGUGGGGUUGCUGAACCUACAUUCCUGAAGGAAGAAAGAUGCAAAAGUCAGGAGUGAAAGAGAAGCAGUCUGUCUUGAGCAAGAGGAUGAAGAAGGUGCUGGUUUGGAGGAAGCCCUACAGGACCUCGAAGUGGGGCUGGACCCACCUGGUCCUUGGCUGUGGGGUUGAGCCUGAAGGCCAGUUGGCUGGAGGAUGCCGAGUUCCCCUUGCAGCUUGACAGCUAAGUGCCUCAGAGACCCCCAAAGUGGGACCACAGGACAGAGAGGAAUUUUUUGGCUGAAUUCCUCUGUAAGUGUUUUUGGACUGUCUCUGUUAUGAUGGUGUGUCCAUCAGAUCAGGGCAUGGAUAGAGGAUUGCUGUUUGAUAAUCCGCACAUGUGAAGAGAUCAGAAACUUAGUGGUGAACAAGCAAGAAGUCAAGGAAGAAGACUGAAGUAGAGGAUAUGGAGGCCUGCCCACUGCACAUGAUCCUGGAUGGGAGCCUGACUUAUCAUCAUUCCAAAUUUGCAUUGGUUUCAUUGCAUUUUCAAUAUGGAACAAAGCUUGGGAAAAAAAAGGCCAAGUGAAACAUGAAAGUCCACUGGGAAACAUAGCCAAUUAAAGCAAUUAAAAGAGGAUGUAGAAUUCUUAAUUCUUACGCUUGGCUAGAAGGAUGAUUGACUGGGCUUGACUCUCCUGGAGGUGGAGAGAUGGAUUCAUGGUAGUGAUCAGACUGCUGGAAAAAACAGUGCAGAGGCAGGGCAGGAAAAACUUCUGCUGAAAUAGCCAACAUCGCGGCUUCUGAUUCUGCAUAACACUGCAGCCACGGACCUCUGCCAGGGAUCAGCCACAGCAGCAAGAGCACAAAUAACCCUCAGCGUGGGAGCAUUUCAGGUGAAUGGGCUUUGCUAUUCUGUGAAUAAUUACCCUCAUGUAGGCAGCAUCUUUGACUGGGUCUUGAGCGACAGCAGUGUGAAAAGGGCAUUUGACUUUGAUUCAUCUGGGAACCGGGCACGUACAGGAGCACGGGAGAGAUAUUUUCCCUGCACAUCAAGUCCAAGGAAGUACAUUUUAUUGUAUUCACUAUAUUUGGUGUGAUUUGCUGCACUCGGAUAUUCAGUUGCAAUUAGGUGGUUAGAGACUUAUCAUUAAUCUUCGGCUCUGUGCUGCCUAUCAAUCUGUUCCCUCACAUAGCUUAUGGCAUUAUUCUGAACAUUUUGAUUAGGAAAUAUCCCUGCCUUGGAGCUGUUGCUGGUGGUAGGAUUUCUGUGUGCAUCUCCUGUCAAUAUCUAAAUUUGUUCUAUUCAAGGCUCUUUAGAGCACUUGUCUCUCGAAUGACAAUUAUAUGUCUCUUGUCUGAUUCAGAGAGAUCUCAAAACCCUGCUGAAUUGGUGCCCUGACAUUAGACCACCAAGAAAUUGCUUCUUCCUUUAUACCUGAGCAUAUUCCUUGAUGAACUUUCUGAUUUUUUUUUCUCUCAUUAAGAUUUCUUAGGAUUUUCAGAUUCAGCUAAGUUAUCUCCUUCUGCUUUUUUCCUUCCUAAAAAGGCUCACAUUCUUGUUGCCCUUAUUAUAUUUAAAAUGCUUUGAAUUUGAUUCUGCAUUCACUGGUCUUCCUGCUUUUCAGUUCACUCUUGCAUAAUUAAUAAGAGAAAAUCAGGGGACAUUGAAGUGUACUUGUGAUGGGGAAAGAAUUUGUUAGAAAAGCCGCUGUGGGGAUGGCAAUGGGGAACCUCUACUCUUCAGGGAGCUCUCUUCCAGGUCAGGAGACUUAAAGGCAGCUCUUAAUUCUCAAUGCUUUUAACUGAUGAGAGUGGUCAAUAAGCGGAUGGACUUCUCCUGACCUGCAUCCUUCUCUCUGGAAGCUUUAAUCUUGUUUAUCCCUGGUCUGAUAUGGGCAUAUGGUUCAUUGUUGAUCUCUCCUACCAGGGAAGAAGACCUCAAUACAUCACAGGUAAAGCUGAUCUUUAUCCAUGCAGCGCUCAGCUGCCCUGAAGAAAUGAACCUCUACAGAUCUAUGGGGAAAGUUUUAGACAAAUCUAAUCAACCGCGUUGCAUUCUAUAUCACAGAUGACAUUCCCUUUGAAAUCCUCAGGAUGGUUUCAGGUAGCUAUGAACUUAAGGAUUGUUUUCAAGUACUAGUAAGAAUAGAUUCGUCCAAGAUAGGAACUAUAAACCAACCCUUUUCUAUACCAUGCUGAAGGUCACCAUGAAAGACAAUGGGAAGUGAAUGGGAUCCACUUUCAAUCUUCCAAGAUUAAAGGCCUUCCUUUAAUAAUAAUAAUAAUAAAGAAAAAAAUAAAGGCAAGAAAAUAAAGCUGUUAUUCAACCAGAGUAUUGGACGUGCUGAAGAAUGUGAUGUGAAUGGAGGUAUGAAGAGAUCAGACUUGACAAUCAUAGUAUUUUUGAAAUCUGUGGAUCUACCUCUUCAGUUAUACUCUCCUGCUGAUGAAAAAGUGUUGAAUAAAGCUAUAAAGCUGGGCAUUUUGUGGAGUUUAACAUAAAAUGAGCAUUAGCUCCUGUGAGGUUUUCUUUCCCUGGGAGUAUCUCUGGUACACCUCUUAAGCUUGCUUGAAGUUCAAACUUUUUACUUCUCUGUUUAAACAAAUGUGGAUUGUGCUCUAUUAUGUUUGUCACAGAUAGAGGAAGGCAAACUGAGCUGAGUUUUGGAUAUUUUUCCUCUGCUUCUUUGAAGAGAUAGUGUGUCAGAUUGAUUCUAAUUUUCCCCUAUAUAUUAAGGUUGCAAAAUGUCCAUUUUAAUAGGCUCCAAUCACCUGCACAAAACCCUGCCCGAACUGUUAACCAACAAACUAAAUCCUGUGGACACCUACAGUCUAAGACAUAAUUAAAAAAAAAUAAAGAAAGAAAAUAAAGAAAGAAAAUAAAGAAAGAAAUGUGUCAGACAAGAAGAGAACAACACAAAACCAGCUAUUAAUCCUUGUGCCUCCAAAAUUGUCAUGAGAAGAAAAGAGUUUUAGGAAAGGAUCAGAGACUCCUCACUGUCUAAAGUCCCUGCUGUGCUUUACUUUCCACUGCUGGAUACAGAGAAGCAAAUCCAAAUAAUUCACUGCAUAUCUUGACUUGUUUUUAUUUACAUUUGGCAUCAGGAUGCAGCUGUACUGACUCUUCCCGAUUAAGACAAAGUCAUCUUCAUCAUUCCAUGUUUAAAUAAUCCUUGUGUUUUCAGUCUCUUGUAGUAUACAUCCUACUAGACCAUUAAACUAUC